UACGGGGGGGGUAAGCGUUGUUCGGAAUUACUGGGCGUAAAGGGCUCGGUAGGCGGCCAACUAAGUCAGACGUGAAAUCCCUCAGCUUUAACUGGGGAACUGCGUCUGAUACUGGAUGGCUUGGAUUCGGGAGAGGAAUGCGGAAUUCCAGGUGGUAGCGGUGAAAUGCGUAGAUAUCUGGAGGAACACCGGUGGCGAAGGCGGCAUUCUGGACCGAUAUUGACGCUGAGGAGCGAAAGCCAGGGGAGCAAACGGG
rnacentral:rRNA from 1 species